ensembl:lncRNA
CAGAAGCCAAUCCACUCAUUCAUAUACUCCCCAAUUCAACAAUCGCUGUGAUAAAUCUCUUUAUGGUCGCGAGACAGGGUCUUCUAGGAACAUCAGAGGACCUGGGCCGUGCUGCUCCUCUGACCCCCUGUGCAACUUUACCGAAGGACAUCCUGAAGACAAACAAUGGCAGAGAACAAAGUUAGUCAGCGGUUCCCAAGCUCCCGUCUGCCGUCACACUCAACACGAACUAUAAUGCCAGGAUGGACAUGACACUAUGCUGACAGCUGAGCAUGUUCUAGAGCGGCGCCCUGC